AGAGUGAACGCUGGCGGUAGGCCUAACACAUGCAAGUCGAACGGCAGCACAGUGGUAGCAAUACCAUGGGUGGCGAGUGGCGGACGGGUGAGGAAUACAUCGGAAUCUACCUUUUCGUGGGGGAUAACGUAGGGAAACUUACGCUAAUACCGCAUACGCCCUUCGGGGGAAAGCCGGGGAUCGCAAGACCUGGCGCGGAUAGAUGAGCCGAUAUCGGAUUAGCUAGUUGGUGAGGUAAUGGCUCACCAAGGCGACGAUCCGUAGCUGGUCUGAGAGGAUGAUCAGCCACACUGGAACUGAGACACGGUCCAGGACUCCUACGGGGAGCAGCAGUGGGGAAUAUUGGACAAGUGGGGCGCAAAGCC
rnacentral:rRNA from 1 species